GAGGGUGGAGCUCAGUGGUAGAGUGUGUGCUUAGCAUACACAAGGUCCUGGGUUCCAUCCCCAGUACCUCCA
rnacentral:tRNA from 1 species